CAGCCCAGUACUUUCAGGGAUCAUUUCUACAGUUCAUUACUAGAAGUUUCUCUAAUCUUGUAGCGCACCCGAAACCACAAGGAGGAGCCAGAGCAUCCUCUCCUGAGGAUGAAGACUGUUCUAGGUCUGUUGCAGCUGCCUUUUACCACUGAUGGUUGUGUCUCACUAGGUUAAAAUCAUGAAUUUAUUAAGGCUGCACUUCAUUUUGUAGA